UACGUAGGGGGCAAGCGUUGUCCGGAUUUAUUGGGCGUAAAGAGCGUGUAGGCGGCUAGAUAGGUCCGUUGUGAAAACUCGAGGCUCAACCUCGAGACGUCGAUGGAAACCAUCUGGCUAGAGUCUGGAAGAGGAGAGUGGAAUUCCUGGUGUAGCGGUGAAAUGCGCAGAUAUCAGGAAGAACACCCGUGGCGAAGGCGGCUCUCUGGUACGUGACUGACGCUGAGACGCGAAAGCGUGGGGAGCAAACAGG
rnacentral:rRNA from 1 species